AUCCAGUUGAUGUGUCCCAAAUAAGACGAAACGCGUUUUCUGAAU
rnacentral:hammerhead_ribozyme from 1 species